AGUUUGGAAUUAUUUACCUAAGAAAAUAAGGUACAUCAUGAGGAGAGAAAAGCCAGCUAUGUGACGACGAACGGAAUAUCCAAUCGGAAUAGCUACUGGGAAGCAGCUCAUGCCACCAGAGGAGGAGUGGCCAGAGUUGUUAGAAGGACUGAAUGAGAUGAAGUAGAGGAAAGUCUUCUAGGACAGGGGUCCUCAACCCUUGGGCCACAGACUGGUGGCAGGAGGGCUGCACAGCAGAUGGGAUGCCUGGUUGCAAGAAAACAAGCUCAGGGCUCCCACAGAUUCUACGUGAUGCAGUUUUCACAGAUUUGUGGCCAGAUGCUAGAGACAAAGGCUGAGAAGUUGUCCAGGACGUCAUAUUCUUGCUUUGCUGGAGGCAGAUCUGAAGGAUGUCAUCUCUCCUGUGGCUUCUUCUAGUGUGGGGUCCCGAAGCCUGGCUUCCCCAGCCGAUGUGCUGCUUUAGUCAGCGUCUGCCCUGGUCCUUCGGUUCGCAGGCUCACACGCUUUUUUGGGUUGUGUCCCUUUGGACUGCAGAGGCUACGUGUCCUGUGACCAACCACGAAGGCGGCCACUCCCGCUCCCCUCAGGAGUGUCUUAAAAUACCUCCAUUUUAGCUACCCUAUUGAAUGACAGGUUAGCUGGGUGCUGGGUUUUCAGGUGAUGGACAUUUUCCCUCAGUCCUCUGAAGGUGUUGCUGGCUUCAGGCAUUGAUGCCGCCACUCUGAUUGUUGUAUGCAGUGAGCAAACUAGAAUUUUCUCUUGGCUUUCUAGAUUUUCUUCUUUAUAUUCUGAAACUUUAUUAUAUCAAGGUUUGAAUUUUAUUUUUUUUGGAGACAGGGUCCUACUCUGUCAUCCAGGCUGGAGUGCAAUGGUGCAGUCCUGCUCACUGCAGCCUCCAAGUCCAGGGCUGAAGCGAUCCUUCUGCCUCAGCCUCCUAAGUAGCUGGGAUCACAGGUGUGCACCACUCUGCCUAACAAGGCUUGUUUUUUGUUUGUUUGUUUGUUUUAAAUAAAUACAUUCAGAUUGUUUUGCCCCUUGAUGAGUUUUUCAGUCUGCAUAGUCCUGUCAUUUUUUCACUUCUGGAAAAUUCUUAGUCAUGAUUUCUGCAAAUAUUUCCUCUCAUUCUGUUUUUUCCUUCUGGAACUCUUUCAUUACCUUUUUGUAGUCAUCUCUUUAUUUCCCUAUACUGCAUUUUUUAAUGGUUUCUUCUGUUCUGUUUUUACAAAUUCUAUCUAUCUUCACAUGGAUUUAGUCUAUUUUUUACUUUUACUCAUUAAUUUAAAAAUACAUUUAACUCCAUUUUCACUAAUGAGGGUGUAUGUGCAUUUAGUUUUUACUUUUAAAGAAGCAGGGUCUUGCUCUGCUGUUGAGGCUGGUAUUGAACUCCUGGGGCUCAAGCAGUGCAAGGAGCUGAGACUACAGGCAUGCGCUACCAC
rnacentral:lncRNA from 10 species